CGCGGCCCGCGGAGGAGGGCGUGAGGCCGCGGUCCGGCCGUUGGCGCUCCCCCCUUCGGCUAACGGCUCCCGGCGGGCGGCGGGGGCAAGCGCCGGCCUAGGCCGCUGCAGAGCGCAGGGAGCAGCUGUUGCUCCGUCCGCUCUCAGCACACUCUGCUGCGGGGCCUGGUGUGCCGUGAGGUAAAGACCAGUCCCCGGCGCGCUUGGGCAAAGGAAAAGCUUAAAAGUCCCAAACACAGAUCCUCCGCGCAGCUUCGGGGCGCGUCGCCGCCGCAGGCGCGCACUGCUCCCUCCCAGCCUCCCGGGCUGCCUGAGCACAGCCGUCUUCUCGCCUGCCGUUCGCGGACUUGCAAACGAGAGCUAACCCUGCCGGGGCCCCGUGUCGCAGUCUGGGAACAAACAGCCCGGGCUGAAAUCUUCUGACUCACCGUCCUCCACCGCCAACGGGAGCGAGCCUCCCGCGGGACUGGAGUGAGCUGCGCCUGGUUCACAAGGAAAAUUUGAAGUAUAGCCCUCAUCGGCUCAUCCGUUGUUUCUAGUAAUCCAUAUUGCAAAUGAAUCGGUUUGCCAGUAAAUCUGAACUGGGCUGCCAUAUGCUUGUCUGGUGCCCUCUUGUGGAUCAGAUUAUUAAUAUACUAUUCAUCAUACUGAAAAAGAUAAAGAAUGAGRAAGUUGAAGAUUUGUCUUGGAAAUAACACUGGAUACACAGAUGGUAAUUUCAGACAAGCAAAAAAAAAAAAAAAGAAAAUCAGCCUUUUUCAUCACAGAUGUCACAUACUCCCCUUGUCAUCACCUCAGAAUAGUGACCAUCCAUAACCUGAAACUCCACGCUUCUUGUGAACAAUCUCUCUGGCUUGUCUUGGAAAGAGGUACCGGGCUGCUGCUUGUUGGAUGUCUAGUCCUUCAAUUUGUAACCAUUCUGUGCUCCAGAGUUAUUAGAUUUAGUGCUCCACAAUGGAGUUCACCCCUUCUUCUCACUGCUUUAGUCAAAACUGCCAAUGUAACUUAUGCAGAAAUUMUUUUUCCUCUGUAACAGUAAACUGAGAUCCAGAUUUUUGUUUUAGAUUCCAGAUUAUCUUAGUCAUUUGUUUUCCUAUGAAAGAAAUACAAAAUAAGAUGAUACUAUUAAAGAGAAAAAAUCCUAUUUCAUCUUUUAUACCUCUCUGUUCCAUAGCUAAACUUGGACUCAAAGGGGAAAAGCUUUCUUACAAAAGUUCUUUGGAAAUGAAUUAGUAUCCUUGUAGAUAUGAAUAUUACUCGAAAGAAGAUCUAUCAAGCAGCUAGCAACUAAGAGCAGAGGACUUAGUAUAAUAGAUUUCCAUUCAAACCUUGACAAAGUGGUUAAAGAUUUGCCAAUAUGUCACGUAAACCUGACACCGUUCUUAUCAGAAUUUUGCUUCUGUGGCCUUUGACGCCUGCAUUUCUUCAUUCUUUUUAUCACUAUUGACUAGUUCAUGAAAUGCUAGUGAAAGAGGACAGGUGUACUUCUAUUUUCUCCUUUUACUGGAUGUUCAGCAGGGAAAGUUUGAGGUUUGGUCUGAGUUGUUACCCAAUAUUCAGGGCUUUUCAUGCUCAUUUUUGUUAGAAGAAAUUGAUGGUAUAAGCAAAGUCAAAGUAACAGCUCAUGUUGCACAAAAGGAGCAACUCUUCAGGGACACACAGAAGGAGUGUCAGCUAUUCUGAAACUGCAAAACUGCAAAAAGCAAGCGGCAUAGAGGAACCUG
ensembl:lncRNA